GCAAUAAGGAUGAGGAGGAGACUUUGAUUGAUGACCACAUGUCCCUUUCCAUUCAAGACCCUCGAGAAGAAGGUGAAUCCAUUGAGUCUGAUCUCGGUAAGGAUGAUGAGCUAGUUACUUUUGGAAAUAGUCUCAGAGAAUGAAAUGGGGCAUGAUACAAAUAAAAAAGCAACCAAAACAGGAUCGCGUAAACAUAGUAUUCGCUCUUUAGGACCGACAAAAUGAAUAAUAAACCGAAAGGAGUCCGAAAUUCUAAAACCUACUUCCUUACGAAAGUAAUGUCGUCAUUUUUUAAAUAU